UAGGGAAUCUUCCGCAAUGGACGAAAGUCUGACGGAGCAACGCCGCGUGAGUGAAGAAGGUUUUCGGAUCGUAAAGCUCUGUUGUUAGGGAAGAACAAGUAUCGUUCGAAUAGGGCGGUACCUUGACGGUACCUAACCAGAAAGCCACGGCUAACUACGUGCCAGCAGCCGCGGUAAUACGUAGGUGGCAAGCGUUGUCCGGAAUUAUUGGGCGUAAAGCGCGCGCAGGCGGUUCCUUAAGUCUGAUGUGAAAGCCCACGGCUCAACCGUGGAGGGUCAUUGGAAACUGGGGAACUUGAGUGCAGAAGAGGAGAGUGGAAUUCCACGUGUAGCGGUGAAAUGCGUAGAGAUGUGGAGGAACACCAGUGGCGAAGGCGACUCUCUGGUCUGUAACUGACGCUGAGGCGCGAAAGCGUGGGGAGCGAACAGGAUUAGAUACCCCCGUAGUCC
rnacentral:rRNA from 1 species